UCCUCCCUCUCUCUCCUCCCUCUCCCUCCAAGUCUGGCACUGAACGCGAACUGUUUUGCUUUGCUCCGGGAAGAGUGCACAUCGUGAAAUCUGAGCUUUUUUUUUUUUUUCUUUUUUGGCGUGGAGCAUUUAAAACGCUUCCUUAUUUAUAUUACCCUCCUUCCCUCACCUCUCCCACCCCCUCACCAGUCCUUCCAAAUUUCCCUAGAAAUCCUUGUGAGGCGUGCGGAGGGGAAAGCAUUUGCACAAAAAGUGAAGGAGCUGGCCAAGGCGCACCAAGGACCAGGAGGAGAGCAGAUGAAUUUCCAGAGCAGUGCCCACACACCCAGGACACAACUCAUGCUCUGCCUCGUGCUUUCUGCAAUGUUGCUGUGCCCGUUCAUCUUCCUGUUAACCCUUGCCAUCCUAACCCCCCCCCCCUUUCCUGACCACCACCUCCCCUCCAUUCACCCACCACCCACUCAGCUCUUUCCCCACGGUGCCCCUUGUUAGGGACCGCGGAAUUGGUCUCUGGAGAAUUCCACGUUGAGUCCUAUGCAGAUGACAGACACUAGGUUCCAUCUCUUCUGCCCACACCUCAUGCCAAACCCAGCCCAGCAGCCAGUAAGCCCCCUUAGUCAGGAAAACCAGAGCCAAUCCUACCUUCUUCAAGAUGGCGCUGCGAGAUCCUCGGCCAGAGCAGUCACAGCCGCAGUCAAUGAAGGGACCCCAAGGUGUAUCUGAGGGGUGCUCUAACUGAAACCCAAUGGAAAGACCAGGGACCGCCUAAACUGUCAGAUCUUGUGAGAGAGCUUACACAUGACUCACAUGCCAAAGGUGGUGGGGGUAAGGCAGAGAGGAAAGAGAAAGUCUCAGAAUCGGAUUGCCCCUGAAUACGAGAUGGAAUCAUCUCGUUGGUCUGGUUUGGUUCCCCUGCCCACUCCCAGCCCACCCCCCUCAAUUAAAUGGUCAUUUCAUUCUA